UCGAAGCCAGAAUGUCUGCGGGAAACUAAGCAUUAUUAGACUUCUAACACAACCAGAUGUGUAGAUACAAGAUAUCCCAGGCUUUACGAAACUAACUGAUCUGGUGACUAAAACGAAUGCAUUCUUCAUUGCUGAAGGGAAUAUGUUGCUCAAGCAUAUUUUGUCGAAUUUCCAGCUCCCAUCUCCUGCACUUCAACCCUGAGAGACUUCAGGUACUUAACAGCUUCAUCAAGAACAGCUACAGUGCUCAUCCGGUUGGCACCACGAAGCCAGAAUGUCUGCGGGAAACUAAGCAUUAUUAGACUUCUAACACAACCAGAUGUGUAGAUACAAGAUAUCCCAGGCUUUGUUAGGGUACAUCAACUCAGAGUUCAUGGCUUUACGAAACUAACUGAUCUGGUGACUAAAACGAUUGCAUUCUUCAUUGCUGCAGGGAAUAUGUUGCUCAAGCAUAUUUUGUCAAAUUUCCAGCUCCCAUCUCCUGCACUUCAACCCUGAGAGACUUCAGGUACUUAACAGCUUCAUCAAGAACAGCUACAGUGCUCAUCCGGUUGGCACCGGGAACAAUACCUCCUAAUGCCUUCACCAUUUUCCUCAUUUUCUGACGUUUCAUGUCAUUAGAAGACUUCUCAGAAGGAGGUGACCUCCUCUUUCUAG
rnacentral:lncRNA from 1 species